GAACCCAGCUCUGCCAGCGCUGAACUGUUCUGUUGAAAAUACCCACCCGACGGUUUCUUACUAUGCUCGUCCUCAAGUGGCAUCGUACAAUACCUACUACCACAGCCCUCCCCACCUGCCGCCAUAUUCCGCUUACGACUUUCAGCAUUCCGGUGUCUUUCCAUCCUCCCCUCCCUCCGGACUUUCUGAUGAGCCCCAGUCUGCCUCGCCUUCGCCCAGCUACAUGUGGUCCUCGAGCGCACCGCCCCGCUACUCUCCCCCCUACUACCCGCCUUUUGAAAAACCACCACCUUACAGCCCCUAAAGAGGAAUGCCUGCUGGCUAUUGAGAUUAUUGUGACUUUUCUAUUUCUGCUUUAGUGGAAGUGUGUAGGGUACAAAAUUUAAAGUGUGAUUCUUACGCAUAAAGUUUUGCGAAGGCCUGCCAAGCUAGGGAAAGAUAGGGAUGAAGCUUAUUCAUUUAUCAGUGCAGAGUAGGGGUGGCUAGGCUGAACCCAGCGCUUCCAAAAAGGGCAGCGCGCACUCUCUGAGCAAGGCUGGGGAGCCAUCCCGGCAAGAAGCUUGUCUCGUGCGUUUCCCUUUGGCUCCACCUCUGUCCUCAGUGGUACUUGCCACCUAUUUCACUUUGUGUAAAUGCAGUGUCGUCCUCAAACCCUUGGCAGACCGCCACCCUAGCACCUUGGGUGAAGCACCUGGCUUAUCUAUAGGCCCUAUCUUUCCCUACCACUACAGUCAGUCCCUAAGGAAAAUUUCCCAGAUGGAGCUACCCAGUGGUUCCAAUACAGAGAGUUCUGGCUAAGAUUUUGUUUGCUUGUGUCUGGAUGUCGAAAAACGCUGCCCGUAUCUUGUACUCCUUUCUUCUCUGUGAGUAUUGUAAAAAUGGCUGUUGUGAUCAUUCAGCUCAGCUUUCGUUAUCAGUACCUCCCAAAGGGAAAAGUGCAAUAUUCCCUCGAGUAGUGGGGAACAGGAUCGAUUGUUUAGGACACACUGAAAUACAAAGAGCAAUGUGUGAGGUGUUUUGAGUUGAUCUCAGUUACACACCCGAUAACUUAGGAGACAGUGGUUCCACUGCAUGGUGCAGUAUUACAAAAGACAUUGGCUAUGGGAGAUCUUACGGUUAAAAUUCAGAGUUAAAAACGCUAGGUUAGGUUCUUGGGUUGUGAUGAUGAAUUGUUACUAAUCUUUGUGACUAUUUAAUCUUCAAAUAUUGUGCUUCCAUCCCAGCAAACCGCACGUAUCCCGCACCCCACCCCAAAAGAAUCAUCUGUAUUCUAAUGCCACUGCUCUUAUUGGUCCUUUUUUCUGUUGAGACCAAUCAUGACAGUGUUCAAGAUUAUGAAAGUGUUACAAUGCCGCUUUAAGUCUGCAAAACCUCAAAAGUAGCCAACUUGACAAAUUCUUAGGUGUUACCAUAAAUUUCAAAUCCAUCUAGCACAUUGUGGUAGGUGUUUGUACAGUUCUUUUAAUUAAGCAUAGCUUUAAACCAUCCACCUGACGAAUUUAACACUUUGGCACCCAUGCCUUCACUUCAGAACCAACACUUUCACUGAGAUCUUAUGUUAACCUGAGAACUGGAGUGAUUUAAAGGAAGACGGAUAAUCCUACACUUGUAUGACAUAAAAAUACAGGGGCUACAGGAGGGUACCUAAUUCGAUAGUUCUGCAAACACAGAACGCAUACGGGAAAAUUUUCCGGCCAAUUUCGCUACCUCCCGACUUGAUGGAUUAGAGGUAGCAGGCAAAUGCUGGUGCUCCCAUCUACCUUGUAGACACCCAGCCAUCCAGAAUUAUCAAGGCACAACAAGUGCACUCAUUGUUCACAGUAAGUGUUUGCAAAGCAUUCAGUUUAACUUCCGGCAUCGUGAAUGAUGUCUCAUCCAGAGUUCAAAUCGGGAACACUAGAAUCCUUUUGCGUUAUAUAAAAUUACUAUUAUUUUCUACAGUUCUGAGCGUAUUAAAAUCUAUUGGAUUUCAAAAAGGGACUAAUAACCAAUUGACUUACUAUACAAAUACCAACUUGUAAUACUCAAUGAAAUUUUUUGCCAUUUACACUGUACCUUUUGCUUUAGUGAACGUGUAUGAGUAUUUAAUUUUUUAAGAGGCACCAUUACACAGUAUAUCCUACAUUUAUCACAUUUCUUAAAGUGUUAAGACUGACUCAUUUCUAUGUACUUUUCUUACUUUACAAAAUAACUUGGAACAGAAUAGAUUUUGUAACACUUAAUUUGAGCAGCUUCUUUUUUUAUUACAUUGAAUUAUAUAAAGUGCAUGUUACCUUAGAAAAAUUAAUAUUUGCUGCUUUACUCUUUUGCAAAACAUUUGCUGUAAUGAAGGAAUUUGUAUUUCCAAUAUGUACCUUGACUGCAUUUUGUAAUAUUUACUGCUUUAUUCCUAAUUCUGCUUUCAAGUACUGAACUGGGCAUGAAACAUUAAAAUAUUAAUCCAGAACCUGUAUAAACUGGAUGUUGCUUAAAAUCUGUAUCACUGCCAUGUUGUAAACCCAGACUGCUUUUGUGAUGUUUCAAAUUAAUAAAACUACCCUCCUCCUUAUC